rnacentral:rRNA from 1 species
UAUACAACUUUCAGCAACGGAUCUCUUGGCUCUCGCAUCGAUGAAGAACGCAGCGAAAUGCGAUAAGUAAUGUGAAUUGCAGAAUUCAGUGAAUCAUCGAAUCUUUGAACGCACCUUGCGCUCCUUGGUAUUCCGAGGAGCAUGCCUGUUUGAGUGUCAU